rnacentral:rRNA from 1 species
UACGUAGGCAGCAAGCGUUGUUCGGAGUUACUGGGCGUAAAGAGUGCGUAGGUGGUGCCCUAAGUCUGUUGUGAAAUCUCCCGGCUUAACUGGGAGGGUGCGGUGGAAACUGGGGUGCUUGAGUGUGGGAGAGGUAAGCGGAAUUCCUGGUGUAGCGGUGAAAUGCGUAGAUAUCAGGAGGAACACCCGUGGCGAAAGCGGCGCGCUGGACCACUACUGACGCUGAAGAACGAAAGCUAGGGGAGCAAACAGG